CAAAGUGUUUUGUCCUUAGGGCUCGCUGACGGUAAUCUGUUCUUUCCACAGGUGUCUGGGUUGGCCCUCGCGGUUAGAUUACCUGUCAAUUGAGCAGAUUCCCCAGAACCAAGUCCUGCGCGCUCCCUGGGAUCCUUCCGCCCUUCCUGGAUCUGAGCUUCUGCCUCUGAGGCCCCUUCCACCAACACUGAGCGUUCGUUGCGGUUUGCCUGUGGUUGUAGGAAGCCGGAUCCAGACCUCAGGCCCACAGUGGGCACAGGCUGCCCAGGGAAGGAGCUCGGAUGCUUCUAGAAGCUGCUCCUCCCUGCGCUGCUAGGACGCCGGAGGGAGGCUUGACUGGAAGAAAAGUGCUCAUUUUCUCUGGGAUUUGGGACCCCAGGCCUGUGAAUUUGGGGAACCUCCUAGGCAUCCACUGAGGCGAAGUUGUAGACUAGAGCUCUCUAUGGAUUAAACACAGGAAAGGCUAAAUAACUUGCCCGAGAUGGCACAGCUAAAUACGGUUCCUAGACUGAAAACUGCUAAGCAGGCAGGCCCAGAGCCUGCAGUUUUAGCCACAAAACCACGAGACGGCAGGAAAGGAAGCAGAUUCUGGCUGCAGUGUGAGUGAUCUCGCUACAUGAGUGAUCACGCCAAAGACAUGAGUUUCCCGGCCCCCUGGGCACACCGUGGGAGCCUCCUCGCAAGGAAGGGCUCUGCAAGGUAGCCGCCUUGCCCCCCGACUGGACACUGCUGCUCCCACAUUCAAGCCUACAGGAUGGUGUCUUGAGUCAAUGGCUGUCACGAAUGGAGAAGGGCCUGGCAUCUCUGUGUCCCUUCUGACCGUGGAGAGAAUGGAGAAGAGGUGCAGAUACACGUGUUUGCGAGCGGGGUGUCAUUGUCAAAGCUCAUCAUCAGAGUUUUCUCUUCUCCAGAGUGGUCAGUAUCCUGUUGGCUUGCGUGUGUAUGCACGUGUGUAUGUGUGUAUGUGCGUGUGUGCGCGUGUGUAUGUGUGUGCCCUUCCUCUGCCCCUGCGGAAGCCUUUGAGUCAUAACAAUAACUCAUCUAGCCCAUUGUCAAGGCUAAUUUACAUUUCCCCAGCUUGAUGCUUGAUGCCUCCCGGACUGACGCUAGCUUUCUCCUCUCCCCAAGCCCUCUGUCCCCUCCCCGAGCUGGAUGCCCUCCAGGAAGCAGUUGUGGUUGAAGGCAAAGACAUGUCAGGUCAGCUAACAACGACGAGUCUGUGUCAGGCAGCAGGCCCCUGCUCCAGGUCAGAGGCGUUUCUGAGAAGUGAAGUCCAGGCUCCAUGAUGUAAGCGGUCUCAGCUGAGAAGACUUAAAGGCGGGCUGUGGGGUGGGUGUGACUCAGUGGCCGGGGGCUGGAGUCACCUGGGCAACCUCC